rnacentral:rRNA from 1 species
UACGAAGGGGGCGAGCGUUGUUCGGAAUUACUGGGCGUAAAGGGCGCGUAGGCGGCCUACUAAGUCGGACGUGAAAUCCCUCGGCUCAACCGGGGAACUGCGUCCGAUACUGGUGGGCUUGAAUCCGGGAGAGGGAUGUGGAAUUCCAGGUGUAGCGGUGAAAUGCGUAGAUAUCUGGAGGAACACCGGUGGCGAAGGCGGCAUCCUGGACCAAUAUUGACGCUGAGGAGCGAAAGCCAGGGGAGCAAACGGGG